rnacentral:rRNA from 1 species
UAAUACGAAGGGGGCUAGCGUUGCUCGGAAUUACUGGGCGUAAAGGGAGCGUAGGCGGACAUUUAAGUCAGGGGUGAAAUCCCGGGGCUCAACCUCGGAAUUGCCUUUGAUACUGGGUGUCUUGAGUAUGAGAGAGGUGUGUGGAACUCCGAGUGUAGAGGUGAAAUUCGUAGAUAUUCGGAAGAACACCAGUGGCGAAGGCGACACACUGGCUCAUUACUGACGCUGAGGCUCGAAAGCGUGGGGAGCAAACAGGAUUAGAUACCCUGGUAGUCCACGCCGUAAACGAUGAUUGCUAGUUGUCGGGAUGCAUGCAUUUCGGUGACGCAGCUAACGCAUUAAGCAAUCCGCCUGGGGAGUACGGUCGCAAGAUUA